rnacentral:rRNA from 1 species
GACGAACGCUGGCGGCGUGCUUAACACAUGCAAGUCGAACGGAAAGGCCCUGCUUUUGUGGGGUGCUCGAGUGGCGAACGGGUGAGUAACACGUGAGUAACCUGCCCUUGACUUUGGGAUAACUUCAGGAAACUGGGGCUAAUACCGGAUAGGAGCUCCUGCUGCAUGGUGGGGGUUGGAAAGUUUCGGCGGUUGGGGAUGGACUCGCGGCUUAUCAGCUUGUUGGUGGGGUAGUGGCUUACCAAGGCUUUGACGGGUAGCCGGCCUGAGAGGGUGACCGGCCACAUUGGGACUGAGAUACGGCACAGACUCCUACGGGAGGCAGCAGUGGGGAAUAUUGCACAAUGGGCGGAAGACUGAUGCAGCAACGCCGCGUGCGGGAUGACGGCCUUCGGGUUGUAAACCGCUUUCGCCUGUGACGAAGCGUGAGUGACGGUAAUGGGUAAAGAAGCACCGGAUAACUACGUG